UUAGGAUGAACGCUAGCUACAGGCUUAACACAUGCAAGUCGAUGGGCAGCAUGGUCUUAGCUUGCUAAGGCCGAUGGCGACCGGCGCACGGGUGAGUAACACGUAUCCAACCUGCCGUCUACUCUUGGACAGCCUUCUGAAAGGAAGAUUAAUACAAGAUGGCAUCAUGAGUCCACAUGUUCACAUGAUUAAAGGUAUUCCGGUAGACGAUGGGGAUGCGUUCCAUUAGAUAGUAGGCGGGGUAACGGCCCACCUAGUCUUCGAUGGAUAGGGGUUCUGAGAGGAAGGUCCCCCACAUUGGAAUUGAGACACGGUCCAAACUCCUACGGGAGGCAGCAGUGAGGAAUAUUGGUCAAUGGGCGAGAGCCUGAACCAGCCAAGUAGCGUGAAGGAUGGCUGCCCUAUGGGUUGUAAACUUCUUUUAUAAAGGAAUAAAGUCGGGUAUGCAUACCCGUUUGCAUGUACUUUAUGAAUAAGGAUCGGCUAACUCCGUGCCAGCAGCCGCGGUAAUACGGAGGAUCCGAGCGUUAUCCGGAUUUAUUGGGUUUAAAGGGAGCGUAGAUGGAUGUUUAAGUCAGUUGUGAAAGUUUGCGGCUCAACCGUAAAAUUGCAGUUGAUACUGGAUAUCUUGAGUGCAGUUGAGGCAGGCGGAAUUCGUGGUGUAGCGGUGAAAUGCUUAGAUAUCACGAAGAACUCCGAUUGCGAAGGCAGCCUGCUAAGCUGCAACUGACAUUGAGGCUCGAAAGUGUGGGUAUCAAACAGGAUUAGAUACCCUGGUAGUCCACACGGUAAACGAUGAAUACUCGCUGUUUGCGAUAUACUGCAAGCGGCCAAGCGAAAGCGUUAAGUAUUCCACCUGGGGAGUACGCCGGCAACGGUGAAACUCAAAGGAAUUGACGGGGGCCCGCACAAGCGGAGGAACAUGUGGUUUAAUUCGAUGAUACGCGAGGAACCUUACCCGGGCUUAAAUUGCAGAUGAAUUACGGUGAAAGCCGUAAGCCGCAAGGCAUCUGUGAAGGUGCUGCAUGGUUGUCGUCAGCUCGUGCCGUGAGGUGUCGGCUUAAGUGCCAUAACGAGCGCAACCCUUGUUGUCAGUUACUAACAGGUUCUGCUGAGGACUCUGACAAGACUGCCAUCGUAAGAUGUGAGGAAGGUGGGGAUGACGUCAAAUCAGCACGGCCCUUACGUCCGGGGCUACACACGUGUUACAAUGGGGGGUACAGAGGGCCGCUACCACGCGAGUGGAUGCCAAUCCCAAAAACCUCUCUCAGUUCGGACUGGAGUCUGCAACCCGACUCCACGAAGCUGGAUUCGCUAGUAAUCGCGCAUCAGCCACGGCGCGGUGAAUACGUUCCCGGGCCUUGUACACACCGCCCGUCAAGCCAUGGGAGCCGGGGGUACCUGAAGUGCGUAACCGCGAGGAGCGCCCUAGGGUAAAACUG
rnacentral:rRNA from 1 species